UACAGAGGUCUCAAGCGUUGUUCGGAUUCAUUGGGCGUAAAGGGUGCGUAGGUGGCGCCGUAAGUCAGGUGUGAAAUUUCGGAGCUCAACUCCGAAACUGCAUUUGAUACUGCGGUGCUUGAGGACUGGAGAGGAGACUGGAAUUCACGGUGUAGCAGUGAAAUGCGUAGAUAUCGAGAGGAACACCUGCGGCGAAGGCGGGUUGCUGGGCUGACACUGACGCUGAUGCGCGAAAGCCAGGGGAGCGAACGGG
rnacentral:rRNA from 1 species